rnacentral:rRNA from 1 species
CCUACGGGAGGCAGCAGUGAGGAAUAUUGGUCAAUGGACGAGAGUCUGAACCAGCCAAGUAGCGUGAAGGAUGACUGCCCUAUGGGUUGUAAACUUCUUUUAUAUGGGGAUAAAACGUUCCACGUGUGGGAUUUUGUAUGUACCAUAUGAAUAAGGAUCGGCUAACUCCGUGCCAGCAGCCGCGGUAAUACGGAGGAUCCGAGCGUUAUCCGGAUUUAUUGGGUUUAAAGGGAGCGUAGGUGGAUUGUUAAGUCAGUUGUGAAAGUUUGCGGCUCAACCGUAAAAUUGCAGUUGAAACUGGCAGUCUUGAGUACAGUAGAGGUGGGCGGAAUGCGUGGUGUAGCGGUGAAAUGCUUAGAUAUCACGAAGAACUCCGAUUGCGAAGGCAGUUCACUGGACUGCAACUGACACUGAGGCUCGAAAGUGUGGGUAUCAAACAGGAUUAGAUACCCUUGUAGUC